CACGUAGGGGGCAAGCGUUGUCCGGAUUUAUUGGGCGUAAAGAGCUCGUAGGCGGCUCAGUAAGUCGGGUGUGAAACCUCCAGGCUCAACCUGGAGACGCCACCCGAUACUGCUGUGGCUUGAGUCCGGUAGGGGAGCGUGGAAUUCCUGGUGUAGCGGUGAAAUGCGCAGAUAUCAGGAGGAACACCAGCGGCGAAGGCGGCGCUCUGGGCCGGAACUGACGCUGAGGAGCGAAAGCGUGGGGAGCGAACCGG
rnacentral:rRNA from 1 species